GCUCACUUCUGCAGCACACAUUCUAAAUUGGAACUAUACAGAGAAGAUUAGCAUGUCCCCUGCACAAUGAUGACAUGCAAAUUCAUAAAGCUCAUAUUUUUUAA
rfam:Cavia porcellus supercont2_6 genomic scaffold, whole genome shotgun sequence.